CCCUUAGAUGUUCUGGGCCGCACGCGCGCUACACUGAUGCAUUCAACGAGUCUAAAACCUGGUCUGAUAGGGCUGGGUAAUCUUUUGAAUGUGCAUCGUGAUUGGGAUAGAUGAUUGCAAUUCUUCAUCUUCAACGAGGAAUGCCUAGUAAACGCAAGUCAUCAGCUUGCAUUGAUUACGUCCCUGCCCUUUGUACACACCGCCCGUCGCUCCUACCGAUUGAAUGUUCCGAUGAAUACCAUGGACUGAGAGUAUGAAUGGGUUCGCCUAUUUCUGCUUCUCGGGAAGUGGAGUAAAUCUUAACAUUUAGAGGAAGGAGAUGUCGUAACA
rnacentral:rRNA from 1 species